GGGGGUGGAUGGAGCCUGGUGGCUUCCUUGGUCUUCAAAACCAAUGUGGCUCUGCUCAGCAGAGCUUGGUGGGUUCGAUUCCCACACUCUCCCGCCA
rnacentral:tRNA from 1 species